rnacentral:rRNA from 1 species
AUUGAACGCUGGCGGAAUGCUUUACACAUGCAAGUCGAGCGGCAGCGCGGCCUUCGGGCUGGCGGCGAGCGGCGAACGGGUGAGUAAUGCAUCGGAACAUGCCCAGUCGUGGGGGAUAACACUUCGAAAGAAGUGCUAAUACCGCAUACGUCCUGAGGGGGAAAGCGGGGGAUCGCAAGACCUCGCGCGAUUGGAGUGGCCGAUGUCAGAUUAGCUAGUUGGUGGGGUAAAGGCCUACCAAGGCGACGAUCUGUAGCUGGUCUGAGAGGAUGAUCAGCCACACUGGGACUGAGACACGGCCCAGACUCCUACGGGAGGCAGCAGUGGGGAAUUUUGGACAAUGGGGGCAACCCUGAUCCAGCCAUUCCGCGUGAGUGAAGAAGGCCUUCGGGUUGUAAAGCUCCUUCGGCAGGAACGAAACGGUGGGCUCUAACAUAGUCCGCUAAUGACGGUACCUGAAGAAGAAGCACCGGCUAACUACGUG